UACGGAAGGCAGCAGUGGGGAAUAUUGCACAAUGGGCGCAAGCCUGAUGCAGCCAUGCCGCGUGUAUGAAAAAGGCCUUCGGGUUGUAAAGUACUUUCAGUCGUGAGGAAGGUGUUAAGGUUAAUAACCUUAGCAAUUGACGUUAGCGACAGAAGAAGCACCGGCUAACUCCGUGCCAGCAGCCGCGGUAAUACGGAGGGUGCGAGCGUUAAUCGGAAUUACUGGGCGUUAAAGGGCACGCAGGCGGUUAAUUAAGUUGGAUGUGAAAUCCCCGGGCUUAACCUGGGAAUGGCAUUCAAGACUGGUUAGCUAGAGUCUUGUAGAGGGGGUAGAAUUCCAUGUGUAGCGGUGAAAUGCGUAGAGAUGUGGAGGAAUACCGGUGGCGAAGGCGGCCCCUGGACAAAGACUGACGCUCAUGUGCGAAAGCGUGGGGAGCAAACAGGGAUUAGAUACC
rnacentral:rRNA from 1 species